rnacentral:rRNA from 1 species
AAAAUAUUAGCCUGUGGUAUUAGGUUGGUUUUUCCUUCUAUUUUAUACAUGGAAUAAAAAGGAAGAGGAAGGAUUGCUUUUUUUGAAGGUUAGGUUCUUAAUGGAUUAACUGAAUUGGAAGUAAGUUAUUUUUUAUAAUAAGAAUAUGAAAUAAUAAUAUUCCGGCUCCAGUAGAUAAUAUUGAAUAGUAUUGAAAGAUAGUUUAAGAGAUUGGAACUUAAAGGGAAGAAAUAAAGUGCCAGCACUUGCGGUCAGACUUUGUCCUUGAGCUAAUUAGUUUGUAAGAGAGUAAUGUUUAAAGUAAAGUUAAAAGUCUACUUUUUAUGGUCAAAUACGAACAAAAAGUUUGAUUUGAUUUUAAGUAAUUUAAAAAUUAGAGCUCAGAAGGCUGUAAUAGAGACGGGGAUUUGAGACCCUCUUAUUGAAGCUGUCUUAAAUCUUACGGGUACUACGAACAAACGUGUUUAAAACUCGAACAGGUUGGCGGUAUUUUAUAACCAUUAAGGGGAACUUGGCGGUUAAACCGAUGAUCCUCGUAAUACUUUACCCUAAGUUUUCUUUGCAUACCGCCGUCAUUAGGUGUACCUAAAGGGGAAAGAUUGCAGCGAGAUAUCAUUAAAUUUAAAUUGUGAAGAAGUUCAGGUAGACGUGUAGGGUUUCUUAGGGGCUUAGCUGAGUUACAAAUGUAAAACAAUUAUGGAUCAUAAAAUGAAAUGUUUGUGUGAAAGCGUACUUAUUAGUAAAUUUUGAAGAGAGAAAUAUUGAAUUGAGUAAAUAAAAUGCGUACAAAUCGCCCGGCGCCCUCGAAUAUUUAAAUUGAGGUAAGUCGUAACAUAGUAAUGCUAGUAAAAACUGGUGUUGUGAAGAG